AAUCGGGUACUUCAGCAAGCAUGUGUUCCUCCUCUUUCCCGUCAGGAGGUCCAUGAUGCUAGAGUAGGUUCUGUCCUUCAAGAAGCUUCAUUCCCUUCCCUACCAGCACAAUCAAGGAAGGCACCAGCACAUAGUCAGAGCUCAAGGACUGCAGCAAGGAUUGGGGACCAGCAGUUUCGUCCUUUAUCAGUUACUAGUAACAGGAAUGUUGCUUUAGCACAGCAGGGUACAAGAACAUUACCUGAAAACACCCAUGUAUCUGGGCUUGCACAAUACAGCAAGAGAACUGAGAACAUGCACCAAGCUGUUCAGCCUCAGUUCCUAAAAAAUAAUUCUUUGAUCCCUUCUGGCUCAACAAGCCGCCCUGUGCAUGUCCCCAGUUCUGCUGGAAAUGAAAGGCAAGACACAUUCAGCAACAGCCAGGUGUUAUCCAGUGUGGAGGACAUUCUUGCAGCAAAUAAAGCCCUGGUUGAGAAAAUGCGGGCUGCAUUAGGAAUGGAUCAGGAUAUGUUCAACGCAUUUAAAGAGAUCGCUGGGGAAUAUCGGCAAGGUGUUAUCAAUUCUUCAGAGUACCUUUCAUAUGUAAAGCAGUUUGGUCUCUUGCACCUUGUUCCUGAAAUGGCCAGGUUAUUGCCUGAUGCUCAGAAGCAGAAGGAGCUUGCAGAUGCCUAC
rnacentral:lncRNA from 1 species